AGAGUUUGAUCAUGGCUCAGAUUGAACGCUGGCGGCAGGCCUAACACAUGCAAGUCGAGCGAGAAAACUCCUUCGGGAGUGAGUAGAGCGGCGGACGGGUGAGUAACGCGUAGGAAUCUACCUGGUAGUGGGGGACAACAGUUGGAAACAGCUGCUAAUACCGCAUACGCCCUACGGGGGAAAGCGGGGGACCUUCGGGCCUCGCGCUACCAGAUGAGCCUGCGUUGGAUUAGCUAGUUGGUGGGGUAAAGGCCCACCAAGGCGACGAUCCAUAGCUGGUCUGAGAGGAUGAUCAGCCACACCGGGACUGAGACACGGCCCGGACUCCUACGGGAGGCAGCAGUGGGGAAUAUUGCGCAAUGGGGGCAACCCUGACGCAGCCAUGCCGCGUGUGUGAAGAAGGCCUUCGGGUUGUAAAGCACUUUCAAUUGGGAAGAAAAGCUCACAGUUAAUACCUGUGAGCCGUGACAUUACCUUUAGAAGAAGCACCGGCUAACUCCGUGCCAGCAGCCGCGGUAAUACGGAGGGUGCAAGCGUUAAUCGGAAUUACUGGGCGUAAAGCGCGCGUAGGUGGUUUUUUAAGUCGGAUGUGAAAUCCCCGGGCUUAACCUGGGAACUGCACCCGAUACUGGACGACUAGAGUGCGAGAGAGGGAGGUAGAAUUCCACGUGUAGCGGUGAAAUGCGUAGAUAUGUGGAGGA
rnacentral:rRNA from 1 species